UUAUAGUAUGUAAAAAUAUCAUAUUUUGAUGAUUUUAUCAUAAAAUUAAGCCCAAUCCAAAUUCCAAUUGCAGCCCAUUAAAAAGGCCCUAGGUUUUCAUCUAAUCACUUCCUUCCCUCCUUCCCUCUUGGUUCGUUCAAACAUUCAGUCACUACUCUUACACUCUCUCUCUCUCUCUCUCUUAGAUGCACGGCGGCAGCAGAGCAGCAACAACUCUUUCUCUCUCACUCUUCUCUUUGAUGCAUGGUAGCAGCAGGCACGGCAGGGCAGUUCUCUCACUCUUUCUUCUUUUUGAUGCACGGUAGCAGCAGGCACGGCAAGGCAGUUCUCUCUCGCUCUUCUCUUUGAUUCACGGCACGGCGGGGCUGGGCAGCUCCAUCUCCCUCUCUUCUCUUAGACGCACGGAACGGAAGCAAGGCAUUAUGUUGGCUAAUACAGCUGUAAAUCUAAAUGAAGCACAAAAUGAUUUAUUAGCUAUUCUAACACAUUCUGAAAGUGUUGAUGAUGCUAGUAAUACUAUUACGGGAGAAAGUACAACAAGCACGGCCAAGCGAAAGAAAAGACAGACAUGUGCUUGAUUUGUAUUUUCUUUGUUUGUACCUUGUUGAAGUGAACUUAUGAUUGCACUCUUUUUCUUUACCAAGAUUUUAUUUCUUAAACUUUUUCUUGGUAAAGUUUUUAAUGAGGCAAUGUUUAUUUUUAAAUUUGGAAUUUUUAUUGUGUUAA